rnacentral:rRNA from 1 species
AAUAAAASAUCGGCUAACUCCGUGCCAGCAGCCGCGGUAAGMGGAGAUGCAGUGUUAUCCGGAAUUAUUGGGCGUAAAGCGUUUGUAGGUGGAAAAAUAAGUCUAUUGUUAAAUCCAGGAGCUCAACUUCUGUACAGCGAUAAGAAACUAUUUUUCUUGAGAAUGGUAGGGGUAGAAGGAAUUCCUAGUGUAGCGGUGAAAUGCGUAGAUAUUAGGAAGAACACCAAAGGCGAAGGCAUUCUACUGGGCCACUUCUGACACUGAGAGACGAAAGCUAGGGGAGCGAAUGGGAUUAGAUACCCCAGUAGUCCUAGCUGUAAACGAUGGAUACUAGGGGAUGCACAUAUCGACAUGUGUAUGCUCGCAGUUCACACAGUAAGUAUCCCGCCUGGGGAGUACGCUCGCAAGGGUGAAACUCAAAGGAAUUGACGGGGGCCCGCACAAGCGGUGGAGCAUGUGGUUUAAUUUGAUGCAACGCGAAGAACCUUACCAGAACUUGACAUACCAUGGACAUUUUUAUGAAAAUAAUUAGUUCCUUCGGGACCAUGGAUACAGGUGGUGCAUGGCUGUCGUCAGCUCGUGUCGUGAGAUGUUGGGUUAAGUCCCGCAACGAGCGCAACCCUUGUCUUUUGUUACCCCUUUCGAGAGAUUGGGGGAAUCGAAAGAGACUGCCGGUCAUAAACCGGAGGAAGGUGAGGAUGACGUCAAGUCAGCAUGCCCCUUACGUUCUGGGCCACACACGUGCUACAAUGGGCAAGACAAUAAGUAGCCAGCCUGCGAAGGUGCGCAAAUCUAAGAAACUUGCCYUCAGDUCGGAUUGGAGGCUGCAACUCCCNUUCC